GACAGAGGGUGCGAACGUUGUUCGGAAUUACUGGGCGUAAAGCGCAUGUAGGCGGCAGCGCAAGUCGGGCGUGAAAUCCCACGGCUCAACCGUGGAAGUGCACUCGAAACUGCGCAGCUAGAGUCCUGGAGAGGAAGGUGGAAUGCUUGGUGCAGAGGUGAAAUUCGUAGAUAUCAAGCGGAACACCGGUGGCGAAGGCGGCCUUCUGGACAGUGACUGACGCUGAGAUGCGAAAGCGUGGGGAGCAAACAGG
rnacentral:rRNA from 1 species